rnacentral:lncRNA from 1 species
GGAGUGUUCAGAUCCAGAAGGAUUCCCCACCUACAUGAUCUGUGAGUUUACCUCAUCUCGCUAAAAGAAAUGCUCAGGUCCCGGGCUUGCUUACAUUCUAGUUCAGGGACCUAUGAGUCAUCACCCAAAACCUUAACUAUAACACCCAAGGUCUGCUAUGUGCAAAAACCCACCUGUCAUUGUUCAAAUGUGCUGGCAGGGAGUGUGUACAGCAUGCAAACCAGCCUGUUGAGGUGCUCCUCCAACGUAGCAGUGGUAACCCAGAAACCCGCCCAAGGUGACAGGUUCCUGAGCCCAGAGCUUCAGGCUGGGCUCAGUGGCAAAGUGACCAGGUGACGUUCCUCCACAGCUCCCAUGCCAAUUCCUCAGAGCCACGGCCUCGGUGAAAGUUACAGGUCUUACGUGGUUUCUUUCAACCAAGAAAAGUAUCCGAAGUUUGUCUUUUCCCGGUUGCCAAGGCCUGGCAGAGGGAAGCAGCGUGUGUAAUUGCAAACCUCUCGUUUAUCAGCUUCAGCCGCUUUUGUGUCACCACACUACGUGUACCAUUUAGCCAGUUAAUCUCCCAGGCCUCUUAGAAAUAUAAUAAUUACACAGAGAGGGCCUCAGCCCUGGAGAGAGAUGACGAAAGAGCCGUCAAGGUAUACCUAGUCUCCAAGUACCCAGGAGAAUUGUUUACUAACCUCGUUCAAACUCAGAUUAAAGACCUAAAAUCCAAGAUGAAGACAUGGUCUCUUUGUAAGAACACAACAUUUUUCAACUAGAAAGUACUGAUCUUAAAAGCAAAUCAAUAAACAAAAAGCAAAUGAGCAAGCAAUAGAAAUCUCCUAUCUUGUUCCAAACACUACAAUAGCAUCUAAUGAACACAACAGUGUUUUUGGAGGUUUUAAAACUUUUAAAAACAUAGUCAAAGCUAUGGUUUUUCCAGUAGACAUGUAUGGAUGUGAAAGUCAGACCACAAAGAAGGCUGAAAGCCAAAGAAUUGAUGCUUUUGAACUGUGGUGUUGGAG